GGAAUUGGAGGCAGAGAAAAGCAGGUUGGACUAAUCAAUAUGAAUUGAGAAAAAUCAAAAAGGUGUGAAAGGAGGUCAAAAACCUCUGAAGAGGGAAUUGAUGGUUGGUGCCGUUGGAAAACUUAGGCCCAGGCAUGGAUCAAAGCUGACGAGGCAUUCAAUGACAUCAUCUUCACAGACGAAUCAACCGUGGCCCUUGAGCAAUUUGCUUAAAAUUGCUACAAAAAAAAUUAAGAUGUUCAAGCAAGCCGAGUCCCAAGCAUCCGCUCAAACUCCAUGUGUGGGGGGCAAUUUCUCGCCAGGGACCACGCACACAUUUAAUUUUUGAUGGUAUCAUGGCUCGAGAUUUAUUUGAGAAAGAAAUCAUCAAGAGAUAUGUUGGACCCUAUGUCAGAGAGGUGUUUCUGGGACCACAUCGUUUCUUUCAAGACAAGGACCCAAAACACAUUGCCUCCCGGGUUUGCAUUGCAGGUGAGGACAUAAACUGGGACAAGACGCCAGCAGAGUCUCCUGAUUUAAACCGAAACAAACUUGUUUGGCAUCAAGUGAAAACAUUCAUCCUUAACUCUGCCAAGCCGACAAACCAAGGCCACCAAGAUGUUUUGGCUCGAGAAAAUGAUGAUUCAACAAUGCAACAAACACAUGGAUCAUCUCAGCAAGCUUUUACCGACAAUCUAGUUUAAAUAAACAUCUGCAUUUGACUUUUUUUUCUUGUCAUUUUAUUAACGAAAGCAUAAAGAUGUUGAUGAAGAAAUAUUGUAUUGCUGUUUUCAGUUAGAAAUGUAACACUUUAGAGUACUUAAGCAUCAAAUACAUUGCAAGUUGAGGGAUUUUCACAACAGGCUACAAAAAUGUCCUGCUAAUAGGUAACAUUUGCAUGAUGGGCUACACCUGCUACAGUACUACAGUACACUUAUGAAAAACAAGUGUUUGAAAAUCUGUUUUCAAAAUGGCUC